GUGCACCAGCGUCCAAAUCUUGCCUUUGGCAUUUCCCUGUACGUUAGCGAUAAUCCGCGAGGUAGCAAUGUGUGCAACACCAUGGCGCGCCAAGUUCCCUGAUCAGGAGGCGCGGCGGGU
rnacentral:ncRNA from 1 species